ACUUGCGCCCAUACCACCCUGUCUGCGCCUGAUUUAGUCUGAUCUCGGAAGCUAAGCAGGGUCGUUCCUGGUUAGUCCUUGGAUGGGAGACCGCCUGGGAAUAUCAGGUGUUGUAAACU
rnacentral:rRNA from 1 species